GAGCCUGAUGAUGUGGCGUCAUCAUUGCCUAGUGACUCUCCUAGCAACAGGAAACAUCUGUUUCGGCGAGGGCCAAUGAGAUUGCGGGGGAAAUUGUGUUGUUGCUCGUUUCUGAAAAAGAGAAUAUUUUAAGACCUGAGAGAGUGCGCCUGACUCGCUGUGGGGAUUAUCAAAACGACCAUACGGAAUCUGGGUGAGGAACCGCGGUCACAGUCCAGAACAGGGACGGCUGAUACCUCCACGGCUGAAGUUGCAGCAGUCACACACAGCGGAGCAUCUUGGCUAUAGCUAUAUCAGUUCUGGUCGUUACCACUGUCCGAUCACACGUGAGAGGACUUGUCAUUCCUGUCUACAGGUGGAACACUUUUGAAAGCUAUCUGAAAGGAGUGCAAGGGCAAUGUGUGAAAGUCCGCUGAGUCAAGCUCAGGAGAACAGGAGAUCCAUCCGAGGGCUGUGUGUGUGUGCGUGUGCAUUUGCCCAUCUCGAGACCGCCCCUGUCCAUUCCCCCUGAGAGUCAGAAGCUCUUAACGACGUCGAAAGUUGCCUACUUCAAGAGGAAGUAUGCGGAGGAGGAGGAUAUUCAUGGCAGCCUACACGGAUAUUUACAAAAACACCUGAUACUUCGUGAGGAGCGCAGCUGUAUCCUGCGCCUCUCCCUGGAGAAGCUGCGUUUCCUGGAUGACCCCGAGGCCUACCUGCGUCGCUCCGUCCUCAUCAACAACCUGCUGCGGAAGAUCCACCAUGACGAGAACGAGCAAGAGCCGGAGGAGAAAGAGGAUCACGAGGACCAGGAGGAGAGGGACACCCAGAAACUAUUCUGUUCUGGCAGGAAGAGACUGAAGGUCCUGGUGACGUCUGAGUGUGACACCCAGAACUUUAGCUACGCAGAGGUGCCUCAGUACAGGCUGGUGUCGUACGCCUCGUCCCCGAGUGUGAUGUGCCUCUGUGGGCUGGGCGGCUGUCCCGCCCUGGCCUCUAGUCAUGGAGCUCCAGUUUUGGUAUAUGACUUGGAUGAUCAUGGGUGAAUGGGAUGGUUGAAGAUCGUGGCUUAAGGAAUAAUAAUAAUAAUAAAAAAAAGAUUUCAGUCAUCUGAGUGCACUGUAGGUGACUGUGUUGUCAGGGUGUUGUGUGCCAGGGCUGGUCGAGGCCAAAAUGCUGUAUGUUGCUUGUGCUUGGAAGCUGAGAGCCAGCUGUGGAGUAUGAACCAUGACUACUGUAUAGCUGUCUCUGGGGAAGACCCUCCAGAACCUCAACCAGUAUCAGGGUCUGCUUUUCAUCUCUCUCUCUCUUUCUCUCUCUCUCUCUCUCACACUCACUCUCACCCACUCUCCAUCUAUCUUUCUGUCUAUCUCUGUGUCUGUUACUUUAGCAUAUGUGUCUGUCAAAAGAAUGACUUAACUGUUGUGGUUUCAAAGCCUUUCUGUAUGAGUAUGAUUUUUUUGCUGAUGUGAGCUAUGAUGCUUGUGUUUUUCAGGGAUAUGAACUCUAAAGAAGCCAUGCACCUUUUUGUAAACAUAUUACAUUAUGUAUACAUAAUGUCGAACCAGGGUCUAAAGGAAGCGCUUUAUUUUGUCCCAAGAUAGUCCCAUGUUGUCUUUGAGCCUACAAAGCCUACUGGCAUUGUAAAAAUGGGCAAGGACACAAAUACAAACCUCAGCCCUUCACUCUCUCCUUAGCAGCAUUCUACUGCCCCCUAUUGUUCAGACCUCUGACAACACAUCUUGGAUCACAUGUAGGACUGUUCAUCAGCAGGCUAAGAUCAGACUCACUGUAGUGCAACGUGAGCUACUAGACACAUAUAUCUCAGAGACUUACUUUUAAUUAUAUGUGGCAAAUGUUAUGUUCUUUGUAAACUGCUCUGAAGCCAGAUGUGCAAUGGGUUUAUCUAUUUCUGGGUAUAUGUGCCAAGUCUAACAACCUGAAUGAAUACCAAUCAUGACCUAUAAUUUGGGACUCUGUGGAGUAGCCAGUACUCUGUAGGCCUACUUAAAAUGUUGUGUCCCAAUUACAUACAAAUAGACUUUUCCAACAAAGUGUUUUCAGUUAUUAUUCAGGGCCUAU